rnacentral:rRNA from 1 species
UACGAAGGGGCUAGCGUUGCUCGGAAUCACUGGGCGUAAAGCGCACGUAGGCGGAUUGCUAAGUCAGGGGUGAAAUCCUGGAGCUCAACUCCAGAACUGCCUUUGAUACUGGCGACCUUGAGUCCGGGAGAGGUGAGUGGAACUGCGAGUGUAGAGGUGAAAUUCGUAGAUAUUCGCAAGAACACCAGUGGCGAAGGCGGCUCACUGGCCCGGUACUGACGCUGAGGUGCGAAAGCGUGGGGAGCAAACGGGG